rnacentral:tRNA from 1 species
ACGGGUGUAGCUCAAUUGGUAGAGCGAUGGUCUCCAAAACCAUAGGCUGUGGGUUCGAAGCCUGCCACCCGUG